UUCGGAGGAGAGACCAGAAAAAGAAUCUCUUAUGAGAUCACCGAGUCAAUAUGCAUGGUGGAUAAUCGGGGGAUGCCAAUCCUGAACAGGUUCCAGACGGGAGAGAUUUUUGCUCAGCUUGGAAAUUUGCUGCCUCUGAACCAGGAUGUGGAAUGGGUUGAAGACUAUAAUAGCAACGUGGACAGAAUAAUGGCUGAAUCCUAUAAAGAUGACAAUUUACGUGAUUUAAUUGUCCCGGUUUUUAUACACAAUAACAUAUAAAAUCCAAAAUGAAGCUGACUUGUACAGAGAGCUGCUGAACAAUGCACGA